AGAGAAGCCUUUUGUUGGAUAGCUUGGCUUGAGAAACUUAUGAAGGUCGUGGCAAGCUGCGAUAAGCUGGGGGUAGACGCAUGCAGUCUUUGAUCCCCAGAUUACCUAAUCCGACUUCGGAUGAGCUUAGGCUCAUGUUCUCAUUAGAGAACGGGUACGCGCUGAAUUGAAACAUCUUAGUAAGCGCAGGAAAAGAAAUCAAUAGAGAUUCCCUUAGUAAUGGCGAACGAACAGGGAGAAGGGCGUUCCGAAUCCGCUGCCGUGAGGCAGUGGAGAUGUGGUGCUAGUUACAUCUCGAAAUUUUUUGGUGAAGUCUGCUGGAAAGCAGGACCAUAGAGGGUGAUAGUCCCGUAAUCGACGAUGAUUGAGAUGAUUGCUAGCGAAGAGUAGUGCGCCUUGAAAUUGGCGUAUGAAUAUGGGAGGCAAUAACUUCCAACCCUAAAUAUUUCCAAGACCGAUAGUGUACGAGUACCGUGAGGGAAAGCUGAAAAGGACCGCUAACGCGGAGUGAAAAGAUCUUGAAAACAAAAGGCAAUAGUACGUUGCGGCGUUUCGGCGUUGCAACUUUCGUUUAGAAAAAUGAGCUAGCGAGUUUAUCUAUGUGGCGAGGUUAACCGAAAGGGUAGCCGAAGCGAAAGCAAAUUCCCGCAGUUUACGAGGGGAGCCGUAUGCAAGUGCGGUUGAGUCACAUGGUUAAGACCUGAAGCCUGACGAGCUAUGCCUGGGCAAGGUGAAGCGAUGGUAAAACGUCGUGGAGGCCUGAAGAGGUGCUGUGGACAUGCGUUCUUCUGACCUGGGUAUAGGGGUGAAAAGCUAAUCGAGUCGGGCUAUAGCUGGUUCCUGCAGAAAUAGGCCGUAGUCUAAUUUCAAUCGAGCGAGUGCGAAGGGUAGAGUACAGAUUAAGCAUUUAGGGGGAGAAAUCCCUCGGUGUUUUGUCUAACUCCGAAUCUUCGUUCCGUGUAGACAUUGGGAGACAGGGCGUCCGGGUUAAGCUUGGCGUCCUAUAGGGGAACAACCCAGAAUGAAGUUAAGGCCCCAAAAUAUUGGUUAAGUGUACUUAAGGUUUCGUUAAUCUAAAACAGUCGGAAGGUUGGCUUAGAAGCAGCCAUCCUCUAAGGAAAGCGUAACAGCUCACCGAUCGAGAUUAACGGGACCGUAAAUGGACGGGACUAAACCAAUUGCCGAUACUUCAUGGUUACAUCUUUUAGAUGUAUUCCGGUAUGCAGGCGCCUUACUAGGGUAGAAGCGUGUUUGAGAGAAUGCGUGAACCUGGUAAUGAUGUGAAUGCUAGCAGUAGUAAUAUCAGAGUGACGUGAGAAACGUCAUCGUCUAAAGGGCAAGGUUUCCUCAGCACUGAUCAUCAACUGAGGGUUAGUCGGUCCUAAGGCAUGACCUAAAGUGGUUAUGUCGAAAGGGAAACAGGUUAAUAUUCCUGUACCUUAAAAUAUUUCGGCGACGAUAGUUUGUUUCUGACGCUUCUGGAUAAGCCUUGCACUCUUGUCUGAGUGUUUAAGCGUAUAAGUCUGGUGAGUGCUGUAAUGGCGAGACCCAGAUGAAAGCGUGAAUAACGUUUAGUUUGGCUAAUUCCUGGAGCCCAUGAAAAAGAAGCAAAUAGUAUAUUUUAAGUCCGUACCCAGAUCCGGCACUGGUGCCCUGGCUGAGAAGGCCAAGACGUGAAAGGACAAUCCAUUUUAGGGAACUCGGCAAUCUAGCCCCGUAUCUUCGGUAUAAGGGGUCCCAGCGCUUGUUAACGCGAGUGCUGGGUACAAUAACUAGGGAGAUCCGACUGUUUAAUAAAAACUUAGGUGGCUGCAAUGCGGAAACGCUUAGUAUAGCCGCUUACUUCUGCCCAGUGCCAGUACCUGAAACCCGGGUUCAACCGGACGAAGGGCUGGUAAACGGCGGGCCUAACCUUGAGGCUCUUAAGGUAGCGUAAUACCUUGUCGUUUAAUUAACGACUUGCAUGAAUGGAGUAACGAGAUCUCCACUGUCCCGAGAUGGAACCUUAUGAACAUUCUAUUGUGGUGCACGGGCCACAGACGUCCAGUGGGAAGUAAAGACCCCGUAGAACUUCACUAUAGCCUGUAGCUGUUAUUCGAUUUUAGUUGCAUAGAGUAUGUAGGAGACGUUAUAUCCUUGCAUUUUGGUGUAAGGGGAGUCAAAAGUGUAACACUACACUUCUAAGAUUGUAUAACUUACUCUAGAUGAGGACACCUAUAGGUGGGUAGUUUGGGUGGGGCGCCACCCUCUUGAAAGAGUAUCAAGAGGACACAAUGGUUAGCUCAUCCCGGUCGGAAAUCGGGAGUAGAGGGCAAAUCUAAAAGCUAGCCUGACAAGGUUAUUAAAAGCACGUAACCUUGGCACGAAAGUGAGUAUUAGCGAACAUCGAUACACUUUUGUUGAGCGUUCGAUCUGAUAGAAAAGUUACCUCGGGGAUAAUUGAGUGGUGUCAUGCUAGCGUACAUAGCGACCAUGACGCUUGCUACUUCGAUGUCGGCUUUGCCUAUCCUGGUGGUGCACAAGCCACCAAGGGUGCGGGGGUUCAUUGGUAGAGAGAAAUAUUUUUUCUAUCAAACCUUGACCGAUUAAAAGGCAUCAUGAGCUGGGUUUAGUACGCCGCGAGGCAGUAUGUCUAAUAUCUACUGGAUGUGUUGGCAGUCUGAGUGUAAGAAUCUCUCAGUACGAAAGGAACGGAGGAUCCGCGCCUCUGGUCUACCGGUUGUCUGACAAGGCAGGCCGGGCAGCUACGCGCGAAAUGGAUAAGUUCUGAAAGCAUCUAAGAACGAAGCCGAACGUGAAAAGAGACUGUUUAAUCUCCCAUAGAAGAUGGGUUUGAUAGGGCUGGUGUGUAA
rnacentral:rRNA from 1 species